rnacentral:rRNA from 1 species
UAAAUGCAAGUCGAACGGCAGCACGGGGGCAACCCUGGUGGCGAGUGGCGAACGGGUGAGUAAUACAUCGGAACGUGUCCUGUAGUGGGGGAUAGCCCGGCGAAAGCCGGAUUAAUACCGCAUACGCUCUACGGAGGAAAGGGGGGGAUCUUAGGACCUCUCGCUACAGGGGCGGCCGAUGGCAGAUUAGCUAGUUGGUGGGGUAAAGGCCUACCAAGGCGACGAUCUGUAGCUGGUCUGAGAGGACGACCAGCCACACUGGGACUGAGACACGGCCCAGACUCCUACGGGAGGCAGCAGUGGGGAAUUUUGGACAAUGGGCGCAAGCCUGAUCCAGCAAUGCCGCGUGUGUGAAGAAGGCCUUCGGGUUGUAAAGCACUUUUGUCCGGAAAGAAAACCUCUGGGUUAAUACCCCGGGGGGAUGACGGUACCGGAAGAAUAAGCACCGGCUAACUACGUGCCAGCAGCCGCGGUAAUACGUAGGGUGCAAGCGUUAAUCGGAAUUACUGGGCGUAAAGCGUGCGCAGGCGGUCCGCUAAGACAGAUGUGAAAUCCCCGGGCUUAACCUGGGAACUGCAUUUGUGACUGGCGGGCUAGAGUAUGGCAGAGGGGGGUAGAAUUCCACGUGUAGCAGUGAAAUGCGUAGAGAUGUGGAGGAAUACCGAUGGCGAAGGCAGCCCCCUGGGCCAAUACUGACGCUCAUGCACGAAAGCGUGGGGAGCAAACAGGAUUAGAUACCCUGGUAGUCCACGCCCUAAACGAUGUCAACUAGUUGUUGGGGAUUCAUUUCCUUAGUAACGUAGCUAACGCGUGAAGUUGACCGCCUGGGGAGUACGGUCGCAAGAUUAAAACUCAAGAAAA